UGGCUCGAGGACGAACGCUGGCGGCGUGCCUAAUACAUGCAAGUCGAACGGCUUUUCUAUGGAAGCUUGCUUCCACUGAGAAGAUAGUGGCGAACGGGUGAGUAACACGUGGGUAACCUGCCCAUAAGAGGGGGGAUAACAUCCGGAAACGGGUGCUAAUACCGCAUAGUUUUCUUGAUUGCAUGAUUGAGAAAGGAAAGACGGCCUUUGUGCUGUCGCUUAUGGAUGGACCCGCGGCGUAUUAGUUAGUUGGUGAGGUAACGGCUCACCAAGACGAUGAUACGUAGCCGACCUGAGAGGGUGAUCGGCCACAUUGGGACUGAGACACGGCCCAAACUCCUACGGGAGGCAGCAGUAGGGAAUCUUCCGCAAUGGACGAAAGUCUGACGGAGCAACGCCGCGUGAGUGAAAGAAGGUUUUCGGAUCGUAAAACUCUGUUGUCAGAGAAGAACAAGUUGGAGAGUAACUGCUCCAGCCUUGACGGUAUCUGACCAGAAAGCCACGGCUAACUACGUGCCAGCCGCCGC
rnacentral:rRNA from 1 species